UUCGGAGCUAGAGACCGGCGCACGGGUGCGUAACGCGUAUGCAAUCUACCUUUUACAGAGGGAUAGCCCAGAGAAAUUUGGAUUAAUACCUCAUAGUAUGUGAGAAUCGCAUGGUUUUCACAUUAAAGUUCCAACGGUAAAAGAUGAGCAUGCGUCCCAUUAGCUAGAUGGUAAGGUAACGGCUUACCAUGGCUACGAUGGGUAGGGGUCCUGAGAGGGAGAUCCCCCACACUGGUACUGAGACACGGACCAGACUCCUACGGGAGGCAGCAGUGAGGAAUAUUGGACAAUGGGCGCAAGCCUGAUCCAGCCAUGCCGCGUGCAGGAUGACGGUCCUAUGGAUUGUAAACUGCUUUUGUACAGGAAGAAACACUCCCUCGUGAGGGAGCUUGACGGUACUGUAAGAAUAAGGAUCGGCUAACUCCGUGCCAGCAGCCGCGGUAAUACGGAGGAUCCAAGCGUUAUCCGGAAUCAUUGGGUUUAAAGGGUCCGUAGGCGGUUUAAUAAGUCAGUGGUGAAAGCCCAUCGCUCAACGGUGGAACGGCCAUUGAUACUGUUAAACUUGAAUUAUUAGGAAGUAACUAGAAUAUGUAGUGUAGCGGUGAAAUGCUUAGAGAUUACAUGGAAUACCAAUUGCGAAGGCAGGUUACUACUAAUGGAUUGACGCUGAUGGACGAAAGCGUGGGUAGCGAACAGGAUU
rnacentral:rRNA from 1 species